CAGGCCGAGCUGCACAUGCGCAGGACGGCGGCGGCGGUGCGCCUCUUGGAGCCCACUCGGGAGCGAGUCAAAUACCGGACCUCUGUUUCCCAAACCUGAGACCCUGUUCUGGGCAACUUCUGACCGAACACAAGCCCGUGAUCCCUUCUCCAAGCUGGGGCAAAGCCAGGAGUGGCCAAAAGGUCUGUGAAGAUACAGUUGUCUACCUCUGCUGCCAAGCACCAUGGAAUCUGGUCCUUCCAAUCAGGAAGGUCGGAAGCCUCUGAUGUCACAGGUCAUUCCAACCUGGCAACCAGUUUGAAGGGAAACACGUAACUGCCACAGUGGUGUCCAGUUUUGCAUCUCGAGGUAAGGGCUGUUUCCAGCCACCGACCCAGCCUUGGACCAUCCUCCAAAACUGUCCUCGAGGGGUCUGGAUCGCUCUACUCCUCUCCAGCAGAUACCCGGCUCUCUCCCCUCUUGGCACAUAUUGGGCUCUCUCCAUCCUUCCUAUUCCUUUUCAGGGCACAAUCUGGUGGGAGAAGGAGGAAAGAGACAAGGGAAUUUGGGAUGGGCCGAAACGUAAGAACUUACAAGACAGACAUAAGUAUGUCAAGAAGGUUCCAGGUACAUGGACUUGUUGGAAGUAAAACUUAGUUUAAGGGACGCCUGGGUGGCUCAGUUGGUUAAGCAGCUGCCUUCGGCUCAGGUCACGGUCCAGCAUCCUGGAAUUGAGUCCCACAUCAGGCUCCUGGCUCGGCGGGGAGCCUGCUUCUCCCUCUGCCUCUGCCUGCCUCUCUGCCUGUGCUCACUCGCUCCCUCUCCCUCCCUCUCUCUCUCUGACAAAUAAAUAAAUAAUUUUUUUUAAAGAAAGUUAGUUUAAAUCGCUUGAUUUGGUAGACUUCUUCUGCUCCAUGUUUUACAGACAUUGUGUUGGGGGUGGGGGUUCAGUGGUGGGGGAGCACCCACGCUCUCCUCUGAGGCAACUCUGAGCCCAAGAGACAUUUUGGGAACCUGAACCGGUAGAUAACUGUACCUGUGUUCUCACACACUUCAGACGGUGUCUACAACUUAAGAAGUCCCUGGACCACCCAAAACCUGCCCCUUGAUCACAAUUAAUCAGCUCUAGUCUGCAUCUGAAAUUUGUAAGCCCGUGUAUCACUCUCGACCCAGAAACUUCAUGACCACUUGUGUAUCUUAUGAACAAAAUGCCACAUGCACAAAAAGGCUAGAUGGAAAAAUCUCCCGUUUAAGGCAGAAUCUGUUUAACCAAGAAGGUGGGAAGCAUGUGGUAGCAUAGACGCCGUCACAGAGGUUCUGGCCGGCUGUCCAUUAACAUCAGAAGAAGCUUCUUCCCAACCUCCUACCUCCUACCUCUGCUUCUCACCUGUGCAUCUGAAUCUUGCUCACUCUCUCCUUCUGUGUUAAAAUAACAGGACUGAAAAUUUACCAUUUUAACCAUUUUUGAGGGUAUGAUUUGUUAGCAGUAUGCACCUUCGGGUCUCUGUGCGACCAUCAGCACCAUCCUUCUCCAGAACUUUUUCGUCUUCCCUGAAACUGAAACUCUGCACCCACUGAAGGAGAACUGCCCGUUCUCCCCUCGCCCAGCCCCUGGCAAGCACCAUUCCACUUUCUGUCUCUAGAGAUUGGGCUAUUUCAGAUAGUUCCUAUCCGUAGAAUCAUGCAGUAUUUUCUGCGUAUGUUUCUGAUUUAUUUCAUUCAACACAAUGUCUUCCAAGCUCCUUUGUGUUAUAGUGUGUGACAGAAUUCCUUCCUUUUUAAAGAUGAAUAAUAUCCAUUCUGUGUGUGUGUAUGUUUGCAUUUUUACAUGUUCCUUUCACAAUCAUAUAAGAACAGUGAUACAUACAUACCAUUUUUAGUUUAUCCAUCCAUCUGUUGAUGGACGCCAGUAAUGUUUCCACAUUUUGGCUAAGCCUUGCUUUCGAUCCAUUGUUUGAAAUUGGAUGAGAAACACAUCCUUAAUUCGGGAUGUGCCUCAAGUUUUAUUUUGCACUUCGAUCAAACUUACGGAUAGCUAAGGAGCCCAGUCCAAGCAUAAAUAAAGUCAAACCAGUUCACCCAGGAAACAAUAUGGAGGUUUCUCCAAAGAUUUUAGAAAACCAAACGAACAAACCCCCCAAAAAACAGAAGUACCCUAUAAUCUGGCACUCUUAAGGCCAGGUAUACAACCAAAGGAAAUGAAAACAGGAUAUUAAAGAAAUAUCUGCCCUCCUGUGUUCAUUGCAGCAUUACUCACAAUAGCCGAGAUAGGAAAACUACCACGGUGUCCGUCAACGGAGGCGUGCAUAAAGAGGAUGUGAGGUCCAUACACAGGGAGCUGUAGAUUGGUAUUUGUAUAGAGGUGAGAAAGUAGGAAAUCCUGCCAUUCGUGACAACAUGGAUGGACCUUGAGGGCAUUAUGUGGAAUGAAAUAAGACUGACAGAGAAAGACAAAUACUGUUGGUAACAUUUAUAUGGGAAAUCUUAAAAAACAACAAAAAGUCAAACUCAGAGAAACAGAAGGUUAAAAAAAAGAAAGGAGGUUGCCAGGGGUGGGGAAGGUGGAGGAACUAGGGCGAGGCUGGUAAAAAGAAGAAAACUUUUCAGUGAGAAGAUGAAGUCUACAGAUCUCCUAUCAGACACAGUAACCGCACACAACAUAGCACAUAAAUGAAAUUUGCCAGGGCAGUAGAUCUUACAUGUUUUCACCCCUCAAAAAGGUCAGUGGGUGAGGUCAUGGAUGUGUUAAUUAACUAGGUGGUUAGAAUCCCUUCACUGUGUACAUCAUAAUGAUGUACACUUUAAAUCGUACAGAUUUAUAUGUCAGUUACACCUCAAUAAAACUGAAAUUUUUAAAAAGUAGUUGAUCCAAGGUGCAGGGACCGACAGUUACCUUUGUUUGCAGUUGUUAACCUUCACAUUUGGAUGAGGUCUCAGAGAGCCUGCAGGUGGCCUUGGGGUUCCCGCACAGAGUCCCUGGUCCUGGACCUCCUGCGGGUCCCACACUGACCCAUGAAGGUCACGUGACUCGUGGCUGCAGAAGUUCAAUCUCUAGGAAGCCUAUUUGCAUUCAGAUUUCCAUUCCUGAUGUUUUCAGCCAUCAGACCUGAGUGGACCCCCGCCAUAACAAAACAGAAGUCUGCGAUUUGUUAUUUAGUUAUUUAUUUUUAAAGGUUAUAUUUCUUUAUUUGACAGACAUCACCAGUAGCCAGAGAGGCAGGCAGAGGGACAGGGGUGGGGAGGCAGACUCCCCACCGAGCAGAGAGCCCGAUGCGGGGCUCGAUCCCAGGAUACUGAGACCAUGACCCGAGCUGAAGGCAGAGGCUUUAACCCACUGCCACCUAGGCACCUCUGGGAUUUGUUUUUUAGAACAAGGGAUGUGAUGCGCUAAAGACUGAAGCAAGAUCCCAGGAUUCACCUCGGCUGCUCUGAUUCAAGUCCUCAGUCCUGUUCACGAUGUCCCUUCUCCAUCUGCUCAGACUCCCGUUGGUAGAUAAUCUGGAGAACAUAAGCCAAGACAACUGGCACGGAUGGGCACCAAGAUGACAAGGUACAUUUAGGAUGAACAAUGAAAAACUUAUACCAAAUGCCGCUGGCAAGUCCUGUGACCCUGAAACAGGUGUAUUGUUUUGCUGGAGAACUUCUAUGUA